rnacentral:tRNA from 1 species
GUGGGCAUAGCUCAGUGGUAGAGCAAGUGCUUAGCAUGCACGAGGUCCUGGGUUCAAUCCUCAGUACCUCCA